rnacentral:sRNA from 1 species
GCUGGGUGUGGUAGCACAUGCCUGUAAUCCCAGUGAUUUAGGAGGCUGAGGUAGGAGGAUCACAAGUUUAAAGCCAGCCUCAGCAACUUAGUGAGGCCCUAAAAAAUUUAGUGAAACCCUGUCUCAA